AGAGUUUGAUCCUGGCUCAGAUUGAACGCUGGCGGAAUGCUUUACACAUGCAAGUCGAGCGGCAGCGCGGGGCAACCUGGCGGCGAGCGGCGAACGGGUGAGUAAUGCAUCGGAACAUGUCCAUGUCGUGGGGGAUAGCCCGGCGAAAGCCGGAUUAAUACCGCAUACGCCCGAGAGGGGAAAGUGGGGGACCGCAAGGCCUCACGCGAUUGGGUUGGCCGAUGUCCGAUUAGCUAGUUGGCGGGGUAAAGGCCCACCAAGGCGAUGAUCGGUAGCUGGUCUGAGAGGAUGAUCAGCCACACUGGGACUGAGACACGGCCCAGACUCCUACGGGAGGCAGCAGUGGGGAAUUUUGGACAAUGGGGGCAACCCUGAUCCAGCCAUUCCGCGUGAGUGAAGAAGGCCUUCGGGUUGUAAAGCUCUUUUGUCCGGAACGAAACGGGUAGCGUGAAUAGCGCUGCCUACUGACGGUACCGGAAGAA
rnacentral:rRNA from 1 species